UACUUAGUACUAUGAAUGUAAUUA
rnacentral:piRNA from 1 species